rnacentral:lncRNA from 1 species
AUUUUGCUGAUUUUAUAUGGAAUGACCCUUGUGGGUCAUAUUCCAAGUAAUGUUUUGUUAGAACUAUAUUCAUCCUACCUAUACAAAUAUCUUCCAUAUGCUUCAAUAAUCUUUUGCCUAAAUUCUACUUUGUCAUAUUUCUCUUUAUCUAAAUUCACAGUAUUACAUGAGUUAACAUAUACUACUGUUUUCUUAAGCUUUCUUCUAAUCUUUUUUAUCAUUCCUUAAUGUCCUAAAGAUCAUAGGGUACUUCUUUGGGCAAGCAUAGCAUUAGAUAUUUUCUUCAGUUUCUUAACAGUUUUCAAUUUUUCUCCUUCAUAUGCAUCUGUAUAAAUGUUCUAUCUAAUUGCUCUUGUGUAAUAUUUCUUUCUUGUUCAUUAACUCAUCUCUAUCUCCUAAUUUCUUGAAGAGAUUAGGAGAUGGAGAUGCAGUAUUCUAUAUAAAAAUGUGAAUUUAGGUAAAAAAGAAAAGUAUAGUGAUGUGACAAAUUGGAAUUUCAGUGAUAAGUUGUCAGAACAUAUGGAAGAUAUUCAUAUAGGUGAAUAUAGCUUCGGUAGAGCAUUGCAUGGAAUAUGACUUUCAAACAUAUUGGAGGGAAGCAAAGAUGGUUAAAGUAAGAUCCUGAAAGAUGGUUUUCUAAAAAAAAUAUUUAAAAUUUACCAGCUCUUUUAGGUAAAUCCCAACAAUUAGGAAAUAUCUUUUGGUAAUAGCUCAAAUUUACGAACUGUAUAGCCAUCCUGUUAAACUCACAAAAUGCACACAAAAAACAAAGCUCCAAACAGGAUGGGUGCUUUAUUGAAGGAAACGUUUUUGACCUUAUCAGUGGGCCGGCCUCGGCUGCAAUGGGUGGGCCGAACAGGGAGGGGCAGAC